CAUGGAUGGAUGGGUGGAUGGUGGCCAAGGCAACCACUUGCCAAGGAUAGGAAAAUGCCUCCCUGGAUACCAGCAACAACAUAGACUGGUGAAAGGUGUUAACCCCGGCUGAAUGACCUGGUGUCCUCAACUCCAUAAGAAGCACCAGGGCCCCAGUGCAGAAGCUCCCAUUGGGGAAGGAGCAAUGGGACGCCACUUGUGACCAGCAUCUCGAAAUUUCCUCUGUCUGACAUCUUCCCCUCCCCACUCCCACUCUUCCCCACUCAAUCCCACUCUUGUUCUUCCCCACCUCACCCCAACCCAGCCUAACCCUUGCUCUUCCCAUUCUUUCCUUCUCAUUAUCCUCUUUCCCAUCCCUUUCUCUCUGCCCCACAUUUACUGUUCAAUAAAGCCCCCAUUGUUCACUUUGA